rnacentral:piRNA from 1 species
UCCGUGUUGUUCGUUGUGUUAGAUAAACU